CCUACGGGUGGCAGCAGUGAGGAAUAUUGGUCAAUGGACGAGAGUCUGAACGAGCCAAGUAGCGUGAAGGAUGACUGCCCUACGGGUUGUAAACUUCGUUUAUAAAGGAAUAAAGUGAGGCGCGUAUGCCCUUUUGUAUGUACUUUAUGAAUAAGGAUCGGCUAACUCCGUGCCAGCAGCCGCGGUAAUACGGAGGAUCCGAGCGUUAUCCGGAUUGAGUGGGUUUAAAGGGAGCGUAGAUGGGUUGUUAAGUCAGUUGUGAAAGUUUGCGGCUCAACCGUAAAAUUGCAAUUGAUACUGGCAGUCUUGAGUACAGUUGAGGUAGGCGGAAUUCGUGGUGUAGCGGUGAAAUGCUUAGAUAUCACGAAGAACUCCGAGUGCGAAGGCAGCUUACUAAACUGCCACUGACAUUGAUGCUCGAAAGUGUGGGUAUCAAACAGGAUUAGAUACCCCAGUAGUC
rnacentral:rRNA from 1 species